GACGAACGCUGGCGGCGUGCUUAACACAUGCAAGUCGAACGGAAAGGCCCGGCUUUUGUGGGGUUCUCGAGUGGCGAACGGGUGAGUAACACGUGAGUAACCUGCCCUUGACUUUGGGAGAACUUCAGGGAACUGGGGCUAAUACCGGAGAGAAUCUCCUGCUGCGCGUGGGGGGUUGGUAAAUGUCGGCUGUUGUGGCUGGACUCGCGGCUUAUCAGCUUGUUGGUCGGGUAGGGGCGUACGAAGGCUUUGACGGGUAGCCGGCCUGGGAGGGUGAACGGGCACCAUGGGACUGCGAUACGGACCAGAAGCGUACGGGCGGCAGUAGUGGGGAAUAUUGCACAAUGGGGCGACGCGUGAUACAGCAACGCUGGGUGCGGGAUGCCGGGUUAUGGGUUGAAAACAGCUUUGGACGGUGCUGAAGAGUGCGUGACGGUAAUGGGUCAAGAAGCAACGGCUAACUACGUG
rnacentral:rRNA from 1 species